CCUACGGGGGGCAGCAGUGAGGAAUAUUGGACAAUGGGCGCAAGCCUGAUCCAGCCAUGCCGCGUGCAGGAUGAGGGUCCUAUGGAUUGUAAACUGCUUUUGUACAGGAAGAAACACUCCCUCGUGAGGGAGUUUGACGGUACUGUAAGAAUAAGGAUCGGCUAACUCCGUGCCAGCAGCCGCGGUAAUACGGAGGAUCCAAGCGUUAUCCGGAAUCAUUGGGUUUAAAGGGUCCGUAGGCGGUUAAGUAAGUCAGUGGUGAAAGCCCAUCGCUCAACGGUGGAACGGCCAUUGAUACUGCUUGACUUGAAUUAUUAGGAAGUAACUAGAAUAUGUAGUGUAGCGGUGAAAUGCUUAGAGAUUACAUGGAAUACCAAUUGCGAAGGCAGGUUACUACUAAUGGAUUGACGCUGAUGGACGAAAGCGUGGGUAGCGAACAGGAUUAGAUACCCGAGUAGUC
rnacentral:rRNA from 1 species